rnacentral:rRNA from 1 species
UACGGAGGAUGCAAGCGUUAUCCGGAUUUAUUGGGUUUAAAGGGUGCGUAGGCGGGAAAAUAAGUCAGUGGUGAAAUCCUACAGCUUAACUGUAGAAUUGCCGUUGAUACUGUUUUUCUUGAGUAUGGUCAAGGAAGGCGGAAUGUGUAAUGUAGCGGUGAAAUGCUUAGAUAUUACAUAGAACACCAAUUGCGAAGGCAGCUUUCUGGCCCAUUACUGACGCUGAGGCACGAAAGCGUGGGGAGCAAACAGGAUUAGAUACCCUGGUA